AUGAAUUAACCAAAACAGAGUGAGAGAAGAGAUUCUCUUCAGCAACAAAAUUCCAGAAGAACAAAAGAGUCUAUCACCCUGUCAUACUGUUUAAUUUGUUAUUUCACCUUUAUUUAACCAGGUAGGCUAGUUGAGAACACCUUUAUUUAACCAGGUAGGCUAGUUGAGAACACCUUUAUUUAACCAGGUAGGCUAGUUGAGAACACCUUUAUUUAACCAGGUAGGCCCAGUUGAGAACACCUUUAUUUAACCAGGUAGGCUAGUUGAGAACACCUUUAUUUAACCAGGUAGGCUAGUUGAGAACACCUUUAUUUAACCAGGUAGGCCAGUUGAGAACACCUUUAUUUAUCCAGGUAGGCCGGUUGAGAACACCUUUAUUUAACCAGGUAGGCUAGUUGAGAACACCUUUAUUUAACCAGGUAGGCUAGUUGAGAACACCUUUAUUUAACCAGGUAGGCUAGUUGAGAACACCUUUAUUUAACCAGGUAGGCUAGUUGAGAACACCUUUAUUUAACCAGGUAGGCUAGUUGAGAACACCUUUAUUUAACCAGAUAGGCUAUUUGAGAACAAGUUCUCAUUUGCAACUGCGACCUGGCCAAGAUAAACCAUAGCAGUUCGACACAUAUAACAACACAGAGUUUCACAUGGAAUAAACCAACAUGCAGUCAAUAAUACAGUAGAUCUAUAUACAGCAUGUGUAAAUGAGGCAGGAUGAGAGAGGUAAUAAAUACAGUAGAUCUAUAUACAGCAUGUGUAAAUGAGGUAGGAUGAGAGAGGUAAUAAAUACAGUAGAUCUAUAUACAGCAUGUGUAAAUGAGGCAGGAUGAGAGAGGUAAUAAAUACAGUAGAUCUAUAUACAGCAUGUGUAAAUGAGGUAGGAUGAGAGAGGUAAUAAAUACAGUAGAUCUAUAUACAGCAUGUGUAAAUGAGGUAGGAUGAGAGAGGUAAUAAAUACAGUAGAUCUAUAUACAGCAUGUGUAAAUGAGGCAGGAUGAGAGAGGUAAUAAAUACAGUAGAUCUAUAUACAGCAUGUGUAAAUGAGGUAGGAUGAGAGAGGUAAUAAAUACAGUAGAUCUAUAUACAGCAUGUGUAAAUGAGGUAGGAUGAGAGAGGUAAUAAAUACAGUAGAUCUAUAUACAGCAUGUGUAAAUGAGGUAGGAUGAGAGAGGUAAUAAAUACAGUAGAUCUAUAUACAGCAUGUGUAAAUGAGGCGAGGCAGGAUAAGAGAGGUAAUAAAUACAGUAGAUCUAUAUACAGCAUGUGUAAAUGAGGCAGGAUAAGAGAGGUAAUAAAUACAGUAGAUCUAUAUACAGCAUGUGUAAAUGAGGUAGGAUGAGAGAGGUAAUAAAUACAGUAGAUCUAUAUACAGCAUGUGUAAAUGAGGCAGGAUGAGAGAGGUAAUAAAUACAGUAGAUCUAUAUACAGCAUGUGUAAAUGAGGUAGGAUGAGAGAGGUAAUAAAUACAGUAGAUCUAUAUACAGCAUGUGUAAAUGAGGUAGGAUGAGAGAGGUAAUAAAUACAGUAGAUCUAUAUACAGCAUGUGUAAAUGAGGCAGGAUGAGAGAGGUAAUAAAUACAGUAGAUCUAUAUACAGCAUGUGUAAAUGAGGCAGGAUGAGAGAGGUAAUAAAUACAGUAGAUCUAUAUACAGCAUGUGUAAAUGAGGCAGGAUAAGAGAGGUAAUAAAUACAGUAGAUCUAUAUACAGCAUGUGUAAAUGAGGCAGGAUAAGAGAGGUAAUAAAUACAGUAGAUCUAUAUACAGCAUGUGUAAAUGAGGCAGGAUAAGAGAGGUAAUAAAUACAGUAGAUCUAUAUACAGCAUGUGUAAAUGAGGUAGGAUGAGAGAGGGAGGUAAUAAAUACAGUAUUUCUAUAUACAGCAUGUGUAAAUGAGGUAGGAUGAGAGAGGUAAUAAAUACAGUAGAUCUAUAUACAGCAUGUGUAAAUGAGGCAGGAUAAGAGAGGUAAUAAAUACAGUAGAUCUAUAUACAGCAUGUGUAAAUGAGGUAGGAUGAGAGAGGUAAUAAAUACAGUAGAUCUAUAUACAGCAUGUGUAAAUGAGGUAGGAUGAGAGAGGUAAUAAAUACAGUAGAUCUAUAUACAGCAUGUGUAAAUGAGGCGAGGCAGGAUGAGAGAGGUAAUAAAUACAGUAGAUCUAUAUACAGCAUGUGUAAAUGAGGCAGGAUGAGAGAGGUAAUAAAUACAGUAGAUCUAUAUACAGCAUGUGUAAAUGAGGCAGGAUGAGAGAGGUAAUAAAUACAGUAGAUCUAUAUACAGCAUGUGCAAAUGAGGCAGGAUGAGAGAGGUAAUAAAUACAGUAGAUCUAUAUACAGCAUGUGUAAAUGAGGCAGGAUGAGAGAGGUAAUAAAUACAGUAGAUCUAUAUACAGCAUGUGUAAAUGAGGCAGGAUGAGAGAGGUAAUAAAUACAGUAGAUCUAUAUACAGCAUGUGUAAAUGAGGCAGGAUGAGAGAGGUAAUAAAUACAGUAGAUCUAUAUACAGCAUGUGCAAAUGAGGCAGGAUAAGAGAGGUAAUAAAUACAGUAGAUCUAUAUACAGCAUGUGUAAAUGAGGCAGGAUGAGAGAGGUAAUACAUACAGUAGAUCUAUAUACAGCAUGUGUAAAUGAGGCAGGAUGAGAGAGGUAAUAAAUACAGUAGAUCUAUAUACAGCAUGUGUAAAUGAGGCAGGAUGAGAGAGGUAAUAAAUACAGUAGAUCUAUAUACAGCAUGUGUAAAUGAGGCAGGAUAAGAGAGGUAAUAAAUACAGUAGAUCUAUAUACAGCAUGUGUAAAUGAGGCAGGAUGAGAGAGGUAAUAAAUACAGUAGAUCUAUUUACAGCAUGUGUAAAUGAGGCAGGAUGAGAGAGGUAAUAAAUACAGUAGAUCUAUAUACAGCAUGUGCAAAUGAGGCAGGAUAAGAGAGGUAAUAAAUACAGUAGAUCUAUAUACAGCAUGUGUAAAUGAGGCAGGAUGAGAGAGGUAAUAAAUACAGUAGAUCUAUAUACAGCAUGUGUAAAUGAGGCAGGAUGAGAGAGGUAAUAAAUACUGUAGAUCUAUAUACAGCAUGUGUAAAUGAGGCAGGAUAAGAGACGUAAUACAUACAGUAGAUCUAUAUACAGCAUGUGUAAAUGAGGCAGGAUGAGAGAGGUAAUAAAUACAGUAGAACUAUAUACAGCAUGUGUAAAUGAGGCAGGAUGAGAGAGGUGAUAAAUACAGUAGAUCUAUAUACAGCAUUUGUAAAUGAGGCAGGAUGAGAGAGGUAAUAAAUACAGUAGAUCUAUAUACAGCAUGUGUAAAUGAGGCAGGAUAAGAGAGGUAAUAAAAACAGUAGAUCUAUAUACAGCAUGUGUAAAUGAGGCAGGAUGAGAGAGGUAAUAAAUACAGUAGAUCUAUAUACAGCAUGUGUAAAUGAGGCAGGAUGAGAGAGGUAAUAAAUACAGUAGAUCUAUAUACAGCAUGUGCAAAUGAGGCAGGAUGAGAGAGGUAAUAAAUACAGUAGAUCUAUAUACAGCAUGUGUAAAUGAGGCAGGAUGAGAGAGGUAAUAAAUACAGUAGAUCUAUAUACAGCAUGUGUAAAUGAGGCAGGAUGAGAGAGGUAAUAAAUACUGUACAUACCUUUAUUUUAUGUCCUCGGCUACUUGGCUAAAAAGCUUGGUUCGCAACGUUCGCUAGUUAACUAUUAAACAUUAGCCGUCUACAUCUAGCUACAUAUUGAACUUCCAUCCUCUCAGGUCAGGGGCGCAAUGUAUGAAUUAAUGAUUAGUUCAGAAUCAGCUUUAUAAUCAUUAGCCAGUAUGGAGAAUUAAGUAAAACCACAAGUCCAAAUUCCUAUCUCCAUCUCCGUGCCUCACAAAGACGGGCACUUAUUGGUAGAUGGGAAAAACAAAAGCAGGCAUUGAAUUUGCCUUUGAGCCUGGUGAAGAUAUUAUUAAUUACACUUUGGAUGGGGUAUCAACACACCCAGUCACUACAAAGAUACAGGCAUCUUCCUAACUUAGUUGCCGGAGAGGAAGGAAACCUCUCAUUGAUUUCACCAUGAGGCCAAUGGUGACUUAAAAACAGUUACAGAGUUUAAUGGCUGUGAUAGGAGAAAACUGAGGAUGGAUCAACAACAUUAUAGUUACUCCUCAAUACUAACCUAACUGACAGAGUUUAAUGGCUGUGAUAGGAGAACACUGAGGAUGGAUCAACAACAUUAUAGUUACUCCUCAAUACUAACCUAACUGACAGAGUAUAAUGGCUGUGAUAGGAGAACACUGAGGAUGGAUCAACUACAUUAUAGUUACUCCUCAAUACUAUCCUAACUGACAGAGUUUAAUGGCUGUGAUAGGAGAACACUGAGGAUGGAUCAACUACAUUAUAGUUACUUCUCAAUACUAACCUAACUGACAGAGUUUAAUGGCUGUGAUAGGAUGAACGCUGAGGAUGGAUCAACAACAUUAUAGUUACUCCUCAAUACUAACCUAACUGACAGAAUUUAAUGGCUGUGAUGGGAGAACACUGAGGAUGGAUCAACUACAUUAUAGUUACUCCUCAAUACUAACCUAACUGACAGAGUUUAAUGGCUGUGAUGGGAGAACACUGAGGAUGGAUCAACUACAUUAUAGUUACUCCUCAAUACUAACCUAACUGACAGAGUGGCUGUGAUAGGAGAACACUGAGGAUGGAUCAACUACAUUAUAGUUACUCCUCAAUACUAACCUAACUGACAGAGUUUAAUGGCUGUGAUCCAGUAGUGAAUCAUUUAGCAGACGCUCUGAUCCAGUAGUGAGUCAUUUAACAGACGCUCUGAUCCAGUAGUGAAUCAUUUAGCAGACGCUCUGAUCCAGUAGUGAAUCAUUUAGCAGACGAUCUGAUCCGGUAGUGAGUCAUUUAGCAGACGCUCUGAUCCAGUAGUGAGUCAUUUAGCAGACGCUCUGAUCCAGUAGUGAGUCAUUUAGCAGACGCUCCGAUCCAGUAGUGAGUCAUUUAGCAGACGCUCUGAUCCAGUAGUGAGUCAUUUAGCAGACGCUCUGAUCCAGUAGUGAAUCAUUUAGCAGACGCUCUGAUCCAGUAGUGAGUCAUUUAGCAGACGCUCUGAUCCAGUAGUGAUUAUUUUAGCAGACGCUCUGAUCCAGUAGUGAGUCAUUAAGCAGACACUCUGAUCCAAUAGUGAGUCAUUUAGCAGGCGCUCUGAUGCAGAGGUGAGUCAUUUAGCAGACGCUCUGAUCCAGUAGUGAAUCAUUUAGCAGAUGCUCUGAUGCAGUAGUGAGUCAUUUAGCAGACACUCUGAUCCAAUAGUGAGUCAUUUAGCAGGCGCUCUGAUGCAGAGGUGAGUCAUUUAGCAGACGCUCUGAUCCAGUAGUGAGUCAUUUAGCAGAUGCUCUGAUCCAGUAGUGAGUCAUUAAGCAGACGCUCUGAUGCAGUAGUGAGUCAUUAAGCAGAUGCUCUGAUGCAGUAGUGAGUCAUUUAGCAGACACUCUGAUCCAGUAGUGAGUCAUUUAGCAGACACUCUGAUCCAGUAGUGAAUCAUUUAGCAGACGCUCUGAUCCAGUAGUGAGUCAUUUAGCAGGCGCUCUGAUGCAGAGGUGAGUCAUUUAGCAGACGCUCUGAUCCAGUAGUGAGUCAUUUAGCAGAAACUCCGAUCCAGUAGUGAGUCAUUUAGCAGACGCUCUGAUCCAGUAGUGAGUCAUUUAGCAGACGCUCUGAUCCAGUAGUGAGUCAAUUACCCAGAUUACAUGGAGAGGAGGACCUGAUCCUAGACCAUAAUGAAUCAGAUUACAUGGAGAGGAGGACCUGAUCCUAGAUCAGAAUGAAUCAGAUUACAUGGAGAGGGGGGAUCUGAUCCUAGAUCAUAAUGAAUCAGAUUACAUGGAGAGAGGGGAUCUGAUCCUAGAUCAUAAUGAAUCAGAUUACAUGGAGA